rnacentral:rRNA from 1 species
AUUGAACGCUGGCGGCAGGCCUAACACAUGCAAGUCGAACGAGUGGCGGACGGGUGAGUAAUGUCUGGGAAAGUGCCUAAUGGAGGGGGAUAACUACUGGAAACGGUAGAUAAUACCGCAUACCAUCGGAUGGGCCCCGAGGGAAUUAGCUAGUAGGUGGGGUAACGGCGCACCAAGGCGACGAGCCCUAGCUGGUCUGAGAGGAUGACCGGCCACACUGGAACUGAGACACGUGCCAGAUUCCGACGGGAGGCAGCAGGGGGGAAUCUUCCGCAAUGGGCGCAAGCCUGAUGCAGCCAUGCCGCGUGUAGGAAGAAGGCGUUCGGGUGGUAAAGUACUGGCAGCAUGGAGGCGUUACUUGCAGAAGAAGCACCGGCUAACUACGUGCCAGCAGCCGCGGUAAUUC